AUUUUAUAAUGCUCAGCACUCUGGUUCAGAUACAGAAACAAGUGUGCCUAGAGAUGUGAGCGUGUGCUGAGGCUGUUAAACACAGAAGAGGCAGAGCAGAUGCCCGAGGCAAAGAAGCUGGUAAGAUAUCUCCAUCACCGGAGCGCCCUUUGAAUGCAGACGUGAAGUGCAGAUGAAUUUGUGUCCACAGAGGAAUACCAGUGCCUACCCUGAGCUCAGGAGCAGUCAGCAGGGACAGACUGGCACAUAUGGUGUCCCAGCUGGAUGUGAGCGGGCAGCAGGAGGCCGUCAGACUUCCACACCCAGCAGUAUGCCUCAUCCUGCAGGUUUAGGUCACCCCCUGUGACCCAUCUGAUCCUUGAUUUCCCUGGUACGGGGCAGGGGAGGCACAAAGAGUUCUGUGAUGUGGUUUUCUGCCCAGACCACCAAACUCCAUACACAAGAAACUACUGUUAGGGCAAACCUGGGAACACAGUCACCAGGGUCGGACCCCUGACUGCCGCUGAACUGGGUAGACUGGACAAAGUGACCGAGAGGGGAAAGAAAAUGUGUUUCUAUUCUCUCUCCCCAGCCAGCCCUUCCUCUUAACUCUUAUGCCUGCAGAUGUUUUCUUGUGUUAAAUACAUACCUGCUAAGGAAACGGACCCCACGAAAGGAUAAUAAAUGAGCUCAAUACAUACUGCCAUUUCAUGGGUUUCUGCUAUGAGCUGCCAUAAAUUUAAAGCCAAUUAUGUCCUGUUUAAAUAUUUAACACUGUAAAGCUAGCCCAUUUUACAUCCUGUCAAAGAUAAUUGAAACACCCAAUUUAUUCCUUUAAUAGGCAGGCAGAGCAUCCACCAGGUGGAAAAUACCGUCAGGAUUUCACUGUUUGCAAGGGGAUAAUGGAAAUAUCCCCAUUCCUCAGACCGUAGCAAGAUGCUCUUUGACACUGGAAGCUUGAGCUGACAUGCGUGCUGCUGGCUGCUAGGUAGCAGCUAGCUUUUAUUUGCACAGCUGCAACACUAGAGGACCCCACAGAGCACAUUUUGCAUGCAGGUGCAACAGCAAUUUCAG
rnacentral:lncRNA from 1 species